AGGAUGCAGGAAUGCACAAGGUCCUGCCAUGGGAGAGUACUCAAGGAGCUCUUGAAAGACCUGUUGCCAGGACCAGUGACCUGGUGAUGGAAUGCUUAGAAGAGCGGGACAAGUACCUGAACUCCUGAAGGAGUGAAGAACACCUUCACUCCUCUUGUAGGCAUUUGGAUUCCUAAUCAUGCCUUUAUGCAAGACUUGGCCUAAGUGUUUGGGGAACCUGUUGUUCUCUCCAGUGCCAGCCUCAGCUCCCAGGCCAAUUCUCUGAAUGUUGAGGAGUCUCAAGACCUCUGGCUUUGAUUGUCCUCAUUCAUUGAUGCGGGACACAUCAGGGUUGGCCAGAGCCCUGAAUGUUGCCUGGGCUCCACUGCAGUUGACUUAUCUGUUCCUGGAAAGUUUGUCAUCAUCUGUGCCCUAAAGAGUACUACAGCCAUCUUUCAACAGAAGUAUGGGCUACUCCCCUCACACACGUCCUGCCUGUGA
rnacentral:lncRNA from 1 species